rnacentral:rRNA from 1 species
AGGCUUUGAUCCUGGCUCAGGAUGAACGCUGGCGGCGUGCUUAACACAUGCAAGUCGAACGAACCUUCGGGUUAGUGGCGGACGGGUGAGUAACGCGUGAGAAUCUGCCCUCAGGAGGGGGAUAACGGCUGGAAACGGCCGCUAAUACCCCAUAUGCCGAGAGGUGAAACGAGUUUUCGCCUGAGGAUGAGCUCGCGUCUGAUUAGCUAGUUGGUGGGGUAAGAGCUUACCAAGGCAUCGAUCAGUAGCUGGUCUGAGAGGAUGAUCAGCCACACUGGGACUGAGACACGGCCCAGACUCCUACGGGAGGCAGCAGUGGGGAAUUUUCCGCAAUGGGCGAAAGCCUGACGGAGCAACGCCGCGUGAGGGACGAAGGCCUCUGGGCUGUAAACCUCUUUUCUCAAGGAAGAAGAUCUGACGGUACGUGAGUGAAUAAGCCACGGGUAAAUCCGUGCAA